rnacentral:rRNA from 1 species
GAUGAACGCUGGCGGCGUGCCUAAUACAUGCAAGUCGGGCGAACGGACGAGAAGCUUGCUUCUCUGAUGUUAGCGGCGGACGGGUGAGUAACACGUGGAUAACCUACCUAUAAGACUGGGAUAACUUCGGGAAACCGGAGCUAAUACCGGAUAAUAUUUUGAACCGCAUGGUUCAAAAGUGAAAGACGGUCUUGCUGUCACUUAUAGAUGGAUCCGCGCUGCAUUAGCUAGUUGGUAAGGUAACGGCUUACCAAGGCAACGAUGCAUAGCCGACCUGAGAGGGUGAUCGGCCACACUGGAACUGGGACGCGGUCCAGACUCCUACGGGAGGCAGCAGUAGGGAAUCGUCCGCAAUGGGCGAAAGCCUGACGGAGCAACGCCGCGUGAGUGAUGAAGGUCUUCGGAUCGUAAAACUCUGUUAUUAGGGAAGAACAUAUGUGUAAGUAACUGUGCACAUCUUGACGGUACCUAAUCAGAAAGCCACGGCUAACUACGUG